CCCUCCCUCUUUCUUCAUGCCUAACACAUGCAAGUCGAACGAGACCUUCGGGUCUAGUGGCGCACGGGUGCGUAACGCGUGGGAACCUGCCCUUAGGUUCGGAAUAACUCCCCGAAAGGGGUGCUAAUACCGGAUAAUGUCUUCGGACCAAAGAUUUAUCGCCUUUGGAUGGGCCCGCGUUGGAUUAGCUAGUUGGUAGGGUAAAAGCCUACCAAGGCGACGAUCCAUAGCUGGUCUGAGAGGAUGAUCAGCCACACUGGGACUGAGACACGGCCCAGACUCCUACGGGAGGCAGCAGUGGGAAUAUUGGACAAUGGGCGAAAGCCUGAUCCAGCAAUGCCGCGUGAGUGAUGAAGGCCUUAGGGUUGUAAAGCUCUUUUACCCGGGAUGAUAAUGACAGUACCGGGAGAAUAAGCUCCGGCUAACUCCGUG
rnacentral:rRNA from 1 species